CUGACUUAACCCUGAAUACUAGCAAGUCGCUCCAGCCCUCGUUUCCCUGGGAACACCAGUUUGGCAUCCUAGAGCAAGCUGUGGUUAAUGGCUGUUUCCAAGGAGAGCAAAAAUGCCCCAGAAGUGAAGCUGUGCAAGGAGUGGGUGGAGGAGGAGAUCACUGCAGCCUUUGCAGAACAAGGCCUGUUUCUGUUUUCCUGGCUGUGGUUAACUGGAGCUACUUGAAUCAAAUCCCCGGCUUUGUGAACAGCUAAAGAGGACAGCAGGGAUAGAGAUUCAACAUUGUUCAUCCAGAUCAGCCUUUGUCCAUUGGUUUCUAUGAUAGAUGAGGAUUUUCUGACCACUUGAGAACACAGGACUAAGCGAACAGGAGGAGCUUAAGUGCAGUUGUGCUCUGAAUCCAGUGUCCUGAAGGCACUGGAUUCAGGCACUGGAAAAUGGGCACGUUCUCUUCAAUCUGUUUCCUUCCACAUGAGCUUCACAUACAUCUUUUAUCACGGCAAUCCUUUCAACAGUCUUCCCUUGAAGAUGGACCAAAUAUGAGCUGGGAUUGGAAAGGCUGGGUUUGGAAAAGAUUUGCAGUGUCCCUCCCUAAUACAUCCUUUCUGCCUCCUGCACUAUGAAAACAAGACCUUAGAACCCAGGCAGUUUUCUUGGGUCUUCCAGAAUUUAAAUCAACUGGAGGGCUUAAGAGAGGUGGGAGAGAAUAGCGGCAUGGAGUGAAGAAAUAUGAAGAAAGGAAAGAUUCUUAUGUGUUCCUGAGGCAUGAUGCCAGCUAUUAUAGCCACAGAUUUCUGAACAGCUUAUUUUUUCAUUCAGUAUUGAAUUGCAGAGUAAAUACAAUGUAAUUCUCCUUCGGUUCAUGGAUCAAUUUGUAAUGGAAGGUACAUAUGCGUGAACAAGAUAGACAAUGGUACAGAAAAAUGGUGUUUAGUACCAAUACCACUGGAAGUGAGAACUGGGCCUUACCUUUGUACUUUGGAUUGGAUACUUUUGUCAUGAGCAAAUCUUUACUCAGUUCUAUCCUCCCUUUCUCAACAGCCAGCCAAAAGGUAAUA
rnacentral:lncRNA from 1 species